GACGAACGCUGGCGGCGUGCUUAACACAUGCAAGUCGAACGGAAAGGCCCUGCUUUUGUGGGGUGCUCGAGUGGCGAACGGGUGAGUAACACGUGAGUAACCUGCCCUUGACUUUGGGAUAACUUCAGGAAACUGGGGCUAAUACCGGAUAGGAGCUCCUGCUGCAUGGUGGGGGUUGGAAAGUUUCGGCGGUUGGGGAUGGACUCGCGGCUUAUCAGCUUGUUGGUGGGGUAGUGGCUUACCAAGGCUUUGACGGGUAGCCGGCCUGAGAGGGUGACCGGCCGCAUUGGGACUGAGAUACGGCCCAGACUCCUACGGGAGGCAGCAGUGGGGAAUAUUGCACAAUGGGCGGAAGCCUGAUGCAGCAACGCCGCGUGCGGGAUGACGGCCUUCGGGUUGGAAACCGAUUUCGCCUGUGACGAAGCGUGAGUGACGGUAAUGGGUAAAGAAGCACCGGCUAACUACGUG
rnacentral:rRNA from 1 species